CCCUUUUCACAAAGAGAACUGCGGGCGGCUUUUCUUCUUCUUCUCUUUACCCUUUUUGCUUGCCGACGGGAGAGUGAUUUACCUGGAGAAGAAGAAGAAGAAGAAGAAUAUGGUCAAAGAAGUCAAACAUCCGCCAAACACGGUAAACGAGGAGAAGGAAGAACGGGCGGAUGGACAGAGGAGUUUGCUUGCACGCGUGCACGGGGUGUGUGUGUGUGUGUGACCUGUGAAGGAGGAGAAAUGCCGGGAUUUGGUUGACACGAUCGGUACGUGAGUGUGAAUGCUUAAACGGAACGGAACGGAAGGAGACGAGAGAGAGAGAGCGACGUGACUGCACAACGGACCCCCCGACAACUGCCACGGGAAACAAAUUUGACGACGCCAAACAAACACAAACAAACAUCAUUUUUGUGUACUCCCUCCCGCCCAUAAACUCUCAAAUUUAUCCAAAUAUGGAUGUAUGUUUGUUUUAGAAGUGUCUAGCUGCAUGUAAUAUUUUGACACAUAAUAUGAGUCGGAGGGAGUAGUAUAAUAGCGCUUAAUUUGACUCGCACACGGAUGUGUGGUGUACACUCUUUAUCUCGCUCUCGGUUAAAUUUGAUCUCGUCUCCUGUA